rnacentral:rRNA from 1 species
AGCAGCCGCGGUAAUUCCAGCUCCAAUAGCGUAUAUUAAAGUUGUUGCAGUUAAAAAGCUCGUAGUUGAAUUUCGGAAUCUGUCCAUCGGUCGGGCUUUACUGUCCGUACUGGUGUGGUGGGUUCUUACCUUCUGAAUAACCAGCAUGCCAUUCACUUGGUGCGUUGGGGAAGCAGGACUAUUACCUUGAAAAAAUUAGAGUGCUCAAAGCAGGCCAGUGCCUGAAUACAUUAGCAUGGAAUAAUAAAAUAGGACGGCAUGGUUCUAUUUUGUUGGUUUCUAGGAUCACCGUAAUGAUUAAUAGGGAUAGUUGGGGGCAUUAGUAUUCAAUUGUCAGAGGUGAAAUUCUUGGAUUUAUUGAAGACUAACUUCUGCGAAAGCAUUUGCCAAGGAUGUUUUCAUUAAUCAAGAACGAAAGUUAGGGGAUCGAAGACGAUCAGAUACCGUCGUAGUCUUAACCAUAAACUAUGCCGACUAGAGAUCGGACGAUGUUAAUUUUUAAUGACUCGUUCGGCGCCUU